GUCUGUUUGAAGGUUUAAAGAGUCUAGCCUGCCCACUGAUAUUCGUUGAAGGGCCGCGGUAUUCUGACCGUGCAAAGGUAGCAUAAUCGUUAGUUCCUUAAUUGGGAUCUUGUAUGAAUGGUUGGACAAAAGAAAGUCUGUCUCUAUAAUUGAUGUCUAAUUUAACUUUUAAGUGAAAAGGCUUAAAUAAAUCAAGGGGACGAUAAGACCCUAUAAAGCUUAAUAUUUUAAAGCAUUGAACUUAAUUUUAGGUUUAUAAAAGUUUAUUGGGGACUAUUUAUUAUAUUGGGGCGAUAAAAGUAAAAUGACUAGUAACUGCUUUAUAUUAAGACAAAAAUGGUUGGUUAAAAUUAAAUGAUCCCUUGUAAGGAUUAUAAGAUUAAGUUACUUUAGGGAUAACAGCGUUAUUUUUUUUGAGAGUUCUUAUCGAAAAAAAAGUUUGCGACCUCGAUGUUGAAUUAAAAUUUCUUUACAGUUGCAGGAGCUGUAACAGAAGGUCUGUUCGACCUUUAAAUUUUUACAUGAUUUGAGUUCAGACCGGCGUGAG
rnacentral:rRNA from 1 species